rnacentral:rRNA from 1 species
UACGUAGGGUGCAAGCGUUGUCCGGAAUUAUUGGGCGUAAAGAGCUCGUAGGCGGUCUGUCGCGUCUGCUGUGAAACUCAGGGCUUAACCCUGAGCUUGCAGUGGGUACGGGCAGACUAGAGUGCGGUAGGGGAGACUGGAAUUCCUGGUGUAGCGGUGAAAUGCGCAGAUAUCAGGAGGAACACCGGUGGCGAAGGCGGGUCUCUGGGCCGUAACUGACGCUGGAGGAG